rnacentral:snRNA from 1 species
AAGUGAAGAAAUUCAACCAAGC